GAACAUGGGAGUGGCGGGGGUGGGGAGUGGGGACUGGCAAGAAGACUCAGCCGGUAAAGAUGCCCACUGCCACACUUGCACUUAAGCCCAGGGACCCACUUGGCAGAAGAAGGGAACUGACUCCUGCAAGUUAUCCACUGACUCCCACACAUGGGUUAUGGUGUGAGUAUGUGUGUGCACACUAAGUAAAGAAAAAGGAUUUUAAAAGGGAAAGUUGUGGAUUCGCAGCUUGGUGGCAGGGCACUUGUCUGGAUGUGCAAGGCUCUGUGUUCAGUUCCCAUCCCUCCUCUGCCCAAGAGCUGAGUGAAAGGCUGGGGUUUUUGGCUUUGAUGCAAGGAGGAGCUAUAGACUCAGCGGUGUUCUUACUAAAAUGAAGACACACUCCUGUGUUUCUCCAGGUGGGACCCCAGGUGUGAGCCAUCCUUGGUACUUGUAGUCAAAAGCAAGAAGUAAAACACAAAUUAUAUGUAUGUAUUUAUGCGUGCAUAUUUCAUCUAUAAUGGAAUGUUUCAUUAAUUAGCCAAAAUGCAUUUGAUCUCCUCCGAAUCUUCUUUUUUUUAAAAAAAAAAAAAACUAAUUCUUUAUUGAUUCUUUGAAAACUUCUAGUCUCCUCCAAAUCUUGUUGCACAGAAAGAUUGUUGUGAACAGAUAUGAAGCAGGAAGCGUGUAGUUCCUGUACAUAAUACAGACAUGUAUAGAUCAUACCACCUGACUGUGAGGAACUUGGAGUCUGGCUGGAGAUGGAACAUCAACAUCCCACAAGCUCUGUGUGCUCCUGCUGUUGCCUUUUCAUUCGGAGGAAGAGGAGGAGGAGCCAGGGAAAGAGCUGGCAUGUUGUUUUCAGCAAAACUGCGGCCCUUGCACUGCUUCGUCUUGGCAGCUGUUCAGAUGCCCAGAAUGCUGAUUCUUUCUCUCUUUUUUCCUGGUUCUCUUCGACAUAUCACCGUGCUUGGGAAACCAAUCAGUGAUCAAGACUGUUUGGCAAGGGCAGAACAACGCGAGUGGACUUCAGCAGCACCUACUCCAGGUUCUAGUGAAAUCUGCCAAUCAUGAUCCCUACCAUAUAGGAAUCUUGCUUGUGUUUCCUCCCUCUCUCUGUAGGAGUGGACGCGGAGAGCUGCUGGUCAGAGAGCUCUGCCAAACGUGCCUGCAAAUCUCAAGUCAGAGAGAGUUUAGGUGUGUCUCUGACCAGCUCAGACAAGCAGGUAGAGAGACUGGCAUUUUAAUCCUCUGAACUUGAAAAUCCACCCAGCCCUGUGUAAACAUUGUAGGAAACAGAGCACAAGCCCUCGAUCUCAUGAAUUUGAUUCUUCAGAUGUAAGACGAGUUACAUCCCUCCUGUGGAUGGCCCUUAAUGCGGAGUGCUCUGAGAGACAGUAAAGAAAUGAGUCAUGACCCCAUACUCAAGAACUUAAACCUGAGCGUGAAGAGAAAGCUGAAGCUUCACAGCAAGCCCACCAUGUGUGGCUGUGCAGGCCCAGGUUGCUUUUGUUGUGAAUGAUGGUAUAGCCCCUUGCAGAAGAGCACCCUCACAUUCCUGGACUCUAAGCGCAGACUCAUAGACGGACCUAGCAGGUGAAUAUGUAAGACAUGCAUGUGCAAGGUGUCUGAGGAGAAGAAUGAGGAGAGACGGAUCUGUCUGGAUGGUCAGGAGGCGUCUCUGAGAAGACAAAACAAAUUGGCAGGAAGAGCCCAUGCCUGACUUCACACACAAAGAGGGUCUGCACCUAGUGCCCCUUCAUGCAAGGUGCCACAUUCCUUUUCUGGAGUCUUCAUAGCAAAGUACCAGGGUCUGGGAGGCUCCAAAUGGCAAAAGCAGCUCCUGUUCUGUCAUUGGAUGAAAGGUUGGAAGACUGAGGCCAUAUGCUGGCAGGACCUCAAGUCCUUGGCUUGGGGUGGAGAACAAGGACUCUGCUGUAUGCCUCUAGCCUGUCUGCGUCUUCAGUGGUGGAUGCUUCUCCAUCGCCCCUUCUGACCGCAAACGACUUCCUGAGCCAUCAUUCUGUGGCCAUCUGUGUCUUCUCUUCUUAAGGACACAGGUCCUAUUGGAUUAGACCCAAUCUAAUGACUUCAUCUUAAUUUGAUUACCUUUGCAAAGACACUAUUUCCAGAUGCAUGGCCUCAGGGCUGUAGGAGGGGCUUGAAAUGAAGGCUCCAGGUACCUGGAGGCUGGGAGCUGACUCUGGAGGUCAUAUCACUCGAAGCACAGAACUAUAUUUUUGCCUAUACAAGUGAUUUUGGUUGUUUUGUCUUCGAGAAAGGUUCUCACUAUAUAGACCAGGCUGUCUUCCAUCUCAGAAAGAGCCACCUGCCUCUGCCUCCCAUGACUUGGGUGGAAUUAAAGGUGUGUGCCACUAUA